GGGGCUGUAGCUCAGUGGUAGAGUGCUCGCCUAGCACGUGUGAGGCCCUGGGUUCCAACCUCAGCACCA
rnacentral:tRNA from 1 species